AUUGUUUCUCAGCCUUUUGGGUAAAAUCAAGUGUAGUACCUGUUCUUAUCAGUUUAAUAUUUGGUAUGUCCUCAAUUCAAGGACAAUAUAUUACAUGGAUUUUUGGAACAAGGAGAUAGACUAGGAACUUGCUCCAUCCACUCCAUGCAUCGACCUGGUAUUGAAGUACUUCCAAGAAUGGUGAACCCUUA
ensembl:snRNA U2 U2 spliceosomal RNA